UACGUAGGUGGCAAGCGUUGUCCGGAAUUAUUGGGCGUAAAGCGCGCGCAGGCGGUCCUUUAAGUCUGAUGUGAAAGCCCACGGCUCAACCGUGGAGGGUCAUUGGAAACUGGGGGACUUGAGUGCAGGAGAGAAGAGUGGAAUUCCACGUGUAGCGGUGAAAUGCGUAGAGAUGUGGAGGAACACCAGUGGCGAAGGCGGCAUCCUGGACCGGUAUUGACGCUGAGGCGCGAAAGCUAGGGUAGCAAACGGG
rnacentral:rRNA from 1 species